UUAGCUGAAAAUACGUAAAGGCAGUCAGCCCAGUGGUGUUUCUGGAGAGGGAUUCCUUCAGAAAUGGAGAAGACAGAAAGCUGCGGAGGCAGAUAUUUGCAGCAGUCUAAAAUAUCAAGCUCAACAGCUCACUCAAGAGCCAACCCUCACAAACCUUCCUAAAAACUAAAAGAGCUAUUACUGAGUCUCAGCGAAUCUUGCCAUGAUCAGCUCUUCCCAGAAGAGAAGGAAGACCAAGGAAAUGAUUUGCUCAGGAUGAGGAAUGAAGACGGCCAUCUUGUGCUCAAACAAACAGAAGUCCUCUGAUGAUCUCAUCAGCCAAAUGAGGGGUUUUGACCAAGUGAUGCUCUUGAAAGGAGUGAAAGAAGAGGAUGUGGUAAAUUCUCUUCAGAGAAAAAGCUUCUCAAAAGGUCUCAAAGCAGCUUGAAGAAUGGUCUGGGAUGUUAGGACUGAGAGAUCCUCUGGCUGAGAACAAGCUACACCACAUCAGUGCUGGAUAUCAACCACAAACUGUUUCCAGACACGAGAGAAGAAGAACACGAUGGGGAGAUGAAACCAGUUUAGAUGUGAUGAUGGGAAUCAUUAUUUUCUGGAACAGUAUCUCAUGUCUUAUAUGUAUCACAUGAUCUGUAUCACAGUUGACUGGAUGGGACUGUGUGACUUUUAAGGACAUUUCAUCACUCAUCUGUGUGAACUGAUUUAUAUAUGAGGUUAAUGUAUUUUUGAUGAUAAUUAUUUUCAUUGAAUCUUAUUUGUCUUGAUGCUACUUUAUCAACUUUAUAGUCUAUGCUUCAAUAAAAUGAAAAUGGUGAAUAUUGUGUUCUGAAGAUUCUUGGUAAAUACAUAAUUUUACUAGGUAGGCUCAUAUGUGUUUAUUUUAGACUUGGAAAAACGACAUAUUAAUUAUUGGGAUUAUUUUUUAUUUAAGACAUAAACAUUUUUGAUCGGAUUAAUAACAUCUGGGACAUCAGUACACCAGAAA